rnacentral:rRNA from 1 species
GGGUUGUGAGGUUAAGCGACUAAGCGUACACGGUGGAUGCCCUGGCAGUCAGAGGCGAUGAAGGACGUGCUAAUCUGCGAUAAGCGUCGGUAAGGUGAUAUGAACCGUUAUAACCGGCGAUUUCCGAAUGGGGAAACCCAGUGUGUUUCGACACACUAUCAUUAACUGAAUCCAUAGGUUAAUGAGGCGAACCGGGGGAACUGAAACAUCUAAGUACCCCGAGGAAAAGAAAUCAACCGAGAUUCCCCCAGUAGCGGCGAGCGAACGGGGAGCAGCCCAGAGCCUGAAUCAGUGUGUGUGUUAGUGGAAGCGUCUGGAAAGGCGCGCGAUACAGGGUGACAGCCCCGUACACAAAAAUGCACAUACUGUGAGCUCGAUGAGUAGGGCGGGACACGUGGUAUCCUGUCUGAAUAUGGGGGGACCAUCCUCCAAGGCUAAAUACUCCUGACUGACCGAUAGUGAACCAGUACCGUGAGGGAAAGGCGAAAAGAACCCCGGCGAGGGGAGUGAAAAAGAACCUGAAACCGUGUACGUACAAGCAGUGGGAGCACGCUUCGGCGUGUGACUGCGUACCUUUUGUAUAAUGGGUCAGCGACUUAUAUUCUGUAGCAAGGUUAACCGAAUAGGGGAGCCGAAGGGAAACCGAGUCUUAACUGGGCGUUAAGUUGCAGGGUAUAGACCCGAAACCCGGUGAUCUAGCCAUGGGCAGG